rnacentral:rRNA from 1 species
AACGAACGCUGGCGGCAGGCCUAACACAUGCAAGUCGAACGCCCUAGCAAUAGGGAGUGGCAGACGGGUGAGUAACACGUGGGAACCUUCCCUAUAGUACGGAAUAUACCAGGGAAACUUGGAGCAAUACCGUAUACGCCCGAGAGGGGAAAGAUUUAUCGCUAUAGGAUGGGCCCGCGUAGGAUUAGCUAGUUGGUGAGGUAAUGGCUCACCAAGGCGACGAUCCUUAGCUGGUUUGAGAGAACGACCAGCCACACUGGGACUGAGACACGGCCCAGACUCCUACGGGAGGCAGCAGUGGGGAAUAUUGGACAAUGGGCGCAAGCCUGAUCCAGCCAUGCCGCGUGAGUGAUGAAGGCCUUAGGGUUGUAAAGCUCUUUUGCCGGGGACGAUAAUGACGGUACCCGGAGAAUAAGUCCCGGCUAACUUCGUGCCAGCCGCCGCA